rnacentral:lncRNA from 1 species
AGUGACGCCAUCAGCCGUCGCCUGAGCCGUGGCGCGCGGGUGGCCGAAAGGCGAAAGUGAGAUUUCAAGGGCCGGGUCUGGGGCCCCGCGGGCGCGCAGUGCUGCGGCGUGUGGGGAGUACGGGGAGGCUGGAGAGGAGCCGGCCCCGGGCAGUGUGAGGUGCGGAAGCGCGGUCCAGACACUUUGCUGACGGGAGGCCGGUCCGCCAGAUCCGGGAGGUGGGGCCUCGUUCUGGACUGCUGUACGUAGUUUUAUUCCUGGUCAUUUUUUUCCACCGCCAAAUCGAGAGAUAGAGCUUUGGAUCAUGAGAGAUGGCGUCGUGUUGGGAAAAGAGCCUUCUUUACCUGAGUUUAAGCUCGGCUCAUAGACAUCCUCUACCUGAGUUUACACGUGUGUAAUAUGAAGGCAGUCGAUUAGGAGAUGUCUAAGAUCAUUACUUACACCUCAAGUUUCCAAGGGGAGGAAGACACGGGAAGGAUGCGUGGUCUGUGCCAGACUUUGUAGACGAUUCACUGAAUGACCCUGAUUUAGCUCUUCCGGCCCUCUUCGAUUCAGCUUGGAAGCAAGCAUAAAUAGUGAUUGUUGUCUGUAUACUUCUCUCGGAAGGAAUGCUGUUAUGGGAGUUGUGGGUUCAUUUUUAGGUGUCUGAAGAAGUUUCAGGACUUUUGAAAUGAUAGUGGAGCCCAUUGAACUCAGAAUUAUCCCUUUCUGGUCUAGUAGGAGUAUAGUGGCAUACGGAAAAUGAAGCAAACAUCAAAGACAGAUGUACUGGCACAAGAUUAAAAUCGUUGCUGAGUUCCAGUGUAGAACAGAGCACUGCAUUGUGUAUCUCACCACUACUGAUUUAGAUUUUAUAAUUUCAGCUGCAUCCCUCCCUCCUACUUUGUAUAUUCUUCAGCAUCUUUUUCUCCCUUUCCACUUGAAUACUUUUCGCAAUCUUUAAAUCCCAGCCCAUUUUAUUAUAUGACUUUUAACUUAGACUUCACAAUUUUCCAAGUGCUAGAAAUUUCCUGAGAUUGCCUUUUCUCCAGUAUCAACGAAUGAGAGACUCCCUGUUCAUAUAUGAGAUAAACUCUUCAUACAUAUUCUAGUUCCAAUACCCCUCUUUCUCAUGCAUUUAUUAUCUUUUCUGUUGUCAACCUUCUACAAAUUCUGGUUCCUUAGCUAAUUCUUCUGUAGCUUUCAAUUAUUUCCUUCACAAGCAAACUUUCUUUCUUUAAAAAGUAUUCUAUACUCAGGAGGCUGAAGCAGGAGAAUCGCUUGAACCUGCGAGGCGGAGUUUGCAGUGAGCUGAGAUCCUGCUACUGCACUCUAGCUUGGGCGACAGAGCGAGACUCCAUCUCAAAAAAAAAGUGUCUACAAUCAGUGUCUUUUUUGUUUUCUGAAAUUGACUUGUCAGCCCUCUGCAGUCUAGUCUCUGUGUCUAUCGUGCUGUGCUACCAAAAAUGCUCUCUUUAAAGUAAUCUCAUUGUUUGGAAGAAAAUGAGUUUUUUGUUCUUUAAUAUAAUAGUGAAAUGAUGAUCCUGUUUCACUAGUAGGAUAAGGUUCAAAACUAUUAAAAUGGACAAGGCAUGUAAAGUCACUUUCUUUUAUUUUUAUCUUUUUUUCCCCCCGUUAGAACCUCUGGCAGGGACUGACUAGCCCAUGAAACUUAUUUCUUCUUCCCGGGCACACAGCUAAACUAAAUUUCACAGCUUUCCUUGUAGUUGGUUAUAGUCAUGUGAUGAACUUCUUUUUUUGAGACAGAGUUUAGCUCUUGUUGCUCAGGCUGGAAUGCAAUGGCACAAUCUCAGCUCACCGCAACCUCCGCCUCCCGUGUUCAAGCGAUUCUCCUGCCUCAGCCUCCCAAGUAGCUGGGAUUACAGGCAUGUGCCAUCACACCCGGCUAAUUUUGUAUUUUUAGUAGAGACACGGUUUCUCCAUGUUGGUCAGGCUGGUCUCGAACUCCCGACCUCAGGUGAUUCCCCCACCUCGGCUUUCAAAGUGCUGGGAUUACGGGCGUGAGCCACCGAGCCUGGCCGUGAUUAACUUCUAGCCAAUUAAAUAUGAAUGGAAAUGAUGUGCUCAUUUUUAGGGUUAAUGAAGUCCUCCUAUUCUCCCUUACUCUUUCUUCGUCAACUUGAUGCCUUUGAGCAUGGUGACCUUCAAAACUAUGUAUUGGAGAUGCCAAAGCCAGAAAAGAGAAGAAUGAGUGGCUGAAACAGUACUUGGAAGACAGCCACCCCAAUUAGAAACACCCCUUUUUGCACUUACUGUAAGAGAAAAAAUUGAGAUUUGAGAAUUUAUAUGUAUAGGAGCUAGAAUGACCAUAGCUAGUCCAGAAAUUGGUACAAGAAGUGGAGUACUGCUAAAACAAUAACCUAAAAUAUGUUACAUCAGCUUAUUUAUGAUGCAGCAGGUGGUAGAGAAUGUGAUUUGGAGGCUAGAAAAAGGAGGCCCAUGUUUGCAGUGGCAAAGUAAUUAGUAAAACUGUCACCUGAAAUAAUUCAAAAUCAGAUCACCUAUCUGUUUAGAUUAGCUCCAGAGGAAAUGAUUGAAAAGAGCAAAAGUAAUACUGUGUUGAAUUUUACAUUUUACUUUUAGUAAGGUUUUACUAAAGAGAG